UAAUAAGUCAUUAGUCAUAAAUAAGGAGUCAGAAGCUGAAAAUUGACGACUGAUUUCAAUUCUCAAUUUUUAGCUUCCGAUUUCCUAAUUCAUUUCUACUCUCAAUCAUACUUUAAUUUUGGGGUGAAUUCGACGUGACCAGAAUAUAAGCAUCCAUCAACCAAGGACCCGAACAUCAUAAAGCCACACUGAUCGCCAUAGGCAUCCUCAAGGGAAACCAACAACAGGGUAAACUCUAUUCGACAUUCAUCAGGAUAACAUUGUCUGGCGCUCUGAAGCACAUGGUGCAUGGACGCCGCCAUACUUGAGCCUGAACGUUAUCUCUGCUCAUCUGUCGCAUGCCGCGUGUCGCGUCUGCGUAUCCGUCGAAUCCGAUGCGGGUGUGUGAUUAGGGUGCUUCGUUUCGCCAAUCAGCCGCAUGACGGUUCAUCAAUAUGUGCCCUAAUUCGGGAGUGUGCACGCCGCGAUAUUGUGGACGACACCUACCAUGCUUGAAUUUCUAAUUCAGUUUGCAUGAAUGGGAGUCUAUUUGCACCGCGUCGAUCGGAAAAUUCUUUGUACCACGUGUUAUACUUUAGAGCCAUCUCACAUGCGAGAAGCUUACUACUUCGCCGACCGCCAUUGCUUACACAUCAAGUUGCUGCUUCGCGCUGAUAGUUUAACUUUUUCAGAAAUUCUUCUACAUCAGGAACCUGCAGAUUCUCCCGUCC